AAAUUGUCAAAUUAAAAAAAAAAAUCCUGAAUCAGCCUGUAGGCAGAUAGAAAUAACAUGUUAGCACAGCACAAACGACAUAUGAUUAAAAGGUAAAUGAUGAUUAAAAACCACUAAGAAUGAAUGGAGAGUAUGAUUUAUCACCGUUUUAUGACUACCCAUAUAUUGUUUUGGUUUUUGAACAUUGCUGCAUUUAUUUUGGAAAUCAGUAUGGCUGGCUGAGUG